CGGGAGGCAGCAGUGGGGAAUAUUGGACAAUGGGCGCAAGCCUGAUCCAGCCAUACCGCGUGUGUGAAGAAGGCCUUCGGGUUGUAAAGCACUUUAAGUAAGGAAGAAAAGUAUAUUGUUAACACCAAUGUACCGUGACAUUACUUACAGAAUAAGGACCGGCUAAUUCCGUGCCAGCAGCCGCGGUAAUACGGAAGGUCCAAGCGUUAAUCAGAAUUACUGGGCGUAAAGCGCGCGUAGGUGGUUUAUUAAGUUGGGUGUGAAAGCCCCGGGCUCAACCUGGGAACUGCAUCCAAAACUGAUUCACUAGAGUACGAAAGAGGGAGGUAGAAUUCACAGUGUAGCGGUGGAAUGCGUAGAUAUUGUGAAGAAUACCAAUGGCGAAGGCAGCCUCCUGGUUCUGUACUGACACUGAGGUGCGAAAGCGUGGGUAGCGAACAGGAUUAGAUACCCUGGUAGUCCACGCCGUAAACGAUGACAACCAGCUGUUGGGAAGCAAUGCUUUUCAGUGGCGCAGCUAACGUCUUAAGUUGUCCGCCUGGGGAGUACGGCCGCAAGGUUAAAACUCAAAUGAAUUG
rnacentral:rRNA from 1 species